AGGAUGAACGCUGGCGGCGUGCUUAACACAUGCAAGUCGAACGAUGAACUGGAGCUUGCUCCGGGGAUUAGUGGCGAACGGGUGAGUAACACGUGAGUAACCUGCCCUUGGACUCUGGGAUAAGCACUGGAAACGUGUCUAAUACCGGAUAUGACCUUCAGCCGCA
rnacentral:rRNA from 1 species